rnacentral:rRNA from 1 species
UACGUAGGUGGCAAGCGUUGUCCGGAUUUACUGGGCGUAAAGCGUGUGUAGGCGGACCUUUAAGUAAGAAGUGAAAGGUUGGAGCUUAACUCCAACAGGGCUUCUUAUACUGGAGGUCUUGAGUGCCGGAGAGGACGAUGGAACGGCCUGUGUAGCGGUGAAAUGCGUUGAUAUGGGCCGGAACACCAAUGGCGAAGGCAGCUCGCUGGGACGGUACUGACGCUGAGGCGCGAAAGCGUGGGGAGCAAACAGG